GGCCCACAUGUGGAGUUAACAGCAGAGAACAUGCCAUGAUCAAUUGAUUUUUGUAUCAAAAAACAAUUUUGUUUCGGAAGGGCAAAUCUUGUCCUCAUUUCUGGCAGAUCACCAACAGAUAGAAGAAAGAUCGAAGAUCACCUAGCAAAGAGCAUGUUAUAAAGCUGUUGAAAUGUGUCCUGGAUACCGUCAAGCUCCCACCCAAGCUAUUUCCUGCCCUCUUUCCAGCAUCCAGCACAGCGCUAGCAUCACUGAGAGACUCUCAGAGUAUCUUUUGAAUAAAGCAAUGGCCUCACCUUAAACCCAUAAGGUUAUAAAACUUUAAAAGUGAAAAGUUUGAAGCUGCAUUCAGAAUUCAGGAAGAUGCAGUAUAAACAGAAGAAGCAGGUAGGUAGGUUCCACAAACAGGCACACGCACUGGCAAGCUGACAUGUACAAAUAUAGACACCAACUAAAGAGGGCUGCAAGGAGAGAACCGUGUCGGCGCUGCUAAAUUAUUCAUCACCUGCUCUGCAGAGUGAACACUAUCAGGAGUCCAGAAGACCUCACAGCUAGGUGCAUCAAGAGCCAGGAACCAAGAUGCUGGAUUCAGAGUCCGGAAGACCAGGGAAGGAAGCGUGGCUGGCACGUGUGAAACUGGGCUGAGAGCACUGCCCCAUUGCCAGUGGUCAACCUGCUCAGGCUAGAGAGGAAACAGGGCUGGCCAAGG